rnacentral:rRNA from 1 species
GCGCUGAGAGAGGAGUCCGCGGCCGAUUAGCUAGUUGGCAGGGUAAAAGCCUACCAAGGCAGAGAUCGGUAGCCGGCCUGAGAGGGCACACGGCCACACUGGCACUGAAACACGGGCCAG